UGCCCCAUGGCUGAGUUGGUUACAGCGUCCGACUGUUAUCUAUUGCUCGCAAUGUUGUUCAUCGGAAGGUCGUGAGUUCGAGCCUCACUGGGGCAG